GCCUUCGUGGUGUAACGGUAGCACACUCGGCGCGUAUUCGAGAGGUCCAGGUUCGAGUCCCGCAGAGGGCA
rnacentral:tRNA from 1 species